CAAUUGCGUGGCGCAUACAGGGGAAACACGAUGGAGAAUUUGUGCCUUCGGUUUUCUCUUAAAAUAAUAACUUUAAGCUUACUGACGCUGGUUAUCAUUACUUCAUUUCAAAGACGUCGCAUCCUUAUCUCCCGAAGAGAUCAUGCAUAAACCAAAAUAUCGGACACCCUGUCGAUGUGAAUUGCAAUUUUCUCUGCUUCAGUGCAUCAAAAUGUGUUGGGUUUAACUUCAGACCGAGAACCAAAGCUAUAAACUGUCAACUGACUAACACCACUAAGAAAAGGAAAUACAAAAAAGAGGGAGAAUGGACGUUGACGUUGUAUCUGACAUGAUGUAGCGGAGAUGAUGUAGCGUUAUUCUGAAGAAGGGGC